rnacentral:rRNA from 1 species
CUGAUAGUAUAUUYAAGGGCCGCGGUAAUUUGACCGUGCKAAGGUAGCAUAGUCACUAGCCUUUUAAUUAAAGGAUGGAAUGAAGGGUUGGAUGAAGGAUAGGCUGUCUUUUUAAUAAUAUUUGAAUUUUACUUUUAAGUGAAAAGGCUUUAAUUUAAUAAAGUGAAGAUAAGACCCUAUAAAACUUUAUAUAAUAAUAUAAUAUGCAUUUUAUUUUGUAAAAGAUAAUAAAAUUGAAUUAUAUUUAGUUGGGGCGACGAAAAUAGAACUUAAAUAUCUGUUUUUUUAAUGAAUUAAUAAUAAUUAAUUUUAUGAUCCUUUAUUAAAGAUUAAAAGAACAAGUUACUUUAGGGAUAACAGCGUAAUUUUCUUUGAGAGUUCUUAUCGACAAGAUUAGUUGCGACCUCGAUGUUGAAUUAAAAUUAUUCUGAUAAGUGUAGUAGCUUAUUUAGUAAGUCUGUUCGACUUUUAAAAUUUUACAUGAUUUGAGUUCAAACCGGUGUGAGCCAGGUUGGUUUCUAUCU